CACACUGAAAUAAAUAUGGGAAGUGGUCUGCUGAUUCUCCUCUUGGAUUUUACAUUCUCACACUUGAUACUCUUUUGUCAGAGACCAUAUUCGGGGAAAACUUGACCUGAAACAAGAUUUAAGAUCCUAGGGAAACUUACCAAACAAGUUACCUCCCAGGCGUCGCCAAGACCAACAGCCACAAAACAUAACAAUAACCAUUCUUCAUGUUCCCUCCUGGUACAAGCAGUCUUUAGUCACCACCACCACCCCCCCUUUACCUCAAGCAUAUAUAUUCUACCUUACACCUGCAAUAAACGGAGCCUUGACACUACCAGAUUGACUCUGUCUCUCUAUUACGUGCUUGGUCUCCCCCUCUCUCCCCCUAUGGGUUCUUUUUAGGUGGCUGCUCCCCGAACCCCACCGUUGAAGUCCGGCAGGCCCGGAUAGAUGGCGCCUCAACGUGUUGGGAUUUGAGUAAGACAGCUUACCGGACGACCGAGAAACAGAUUCCGCGGACAAAGUAAACGGUAGAGGCUGAACGGACAGCCUUGAGAUAAGGCUACUUCACAACGGAACAGAUGGCGACAGUUCUGACAGUAACCCUCAUCUCUAUCCUGCUACCAGCCACCAGAUCAGGAAGUCCACACAUCCCCGUUCAUCAAGUAUGGGAGAUUGUCAAUCCAGUGAACCAAGCCGUUCUUGCCUCUGUCUCCAGUUCCCAGUGGCCGCGCCUUACAUGGUUCCCCCAACUGACCAUCGACCUUUGUGUCCUCGGUAUCCCAUACCAGUCAUCAAUGCACUAUUGCGCCCCAAAUGUGCCCGGUCUCCCGAUUAAGGACUAUUGGACCCAAUAUACCCAGUACCCUCUAUACGGCUGCCCUGGGUUCAGCCAGCCAGACCACUGUGGGGGCCAGUCAUAUGGAUUCUGUGCCACAUGGGGCUGUGUGACUUUUGGCACUGCUCAUUGGAUCACCAACAAAGACUUGAUUACCAUCGCCCGAAAUCCCUCCCGCCCUCAGACCUGCUCCUUUAAUCCCCCCAAUUGUAAUCCCCUUAUUAUCAAAUUCACCAACAAGGGCAAAACGGAUCCCCGUUGGACAGAAGGACUCACCUGGGGACUGCGCCUUUAUAAAAGGGGCCCCGAUGAUGUCUUUCUCUUCACACUCCGACUGCGCGUGACCCCUAUUACCAACUCUAUGGGUCCUAAUUUUGUUCUCACUGACCAACACAGCCCUUCAUAUCAGUUCCCCCAGCCCCCCCGACCCCUCUCCCCCACCCAAUUCCCCUCCCUUACACUCCCACCUACCCCUAUUCCCAAAAUACCUCCUGGUACCACUGAUAGACUCCUCAAACUCAUUGAGAGCUCCUAUUUGGUUUUGAAUGCUACCGCCCCAAACCUUACAAUCAGUUGUUGGCUAUGUCUCCACUCGCAGCCCCCAUACUAUGAAGGAAUCGCCUUUACCGAUCACCCUUAUAACACCUCUGCCCCUUCCCCUCGAUGCGCCCGGUUCCCCCACCACUUCACCCUUGCCAAAGUCUCCGGAAAAGGCCUUUGCAUAGGUCACCCCCCUUCCUCUCACUCCCAUCUUUGUAAUGUUACCCUUCCUAUCUCCCACUCCCCUUAUUAUCUAGAGGCUCCCAAUAACACCUUUUGGGCCUGCAACACCGGCCUCACCCCCUGCAUUUCCCUUCAGGUUUUUAAUACCUCCUCAGAAUUCUGUGUACUUAUACAAUUAUGGCCCAGAAUUACUUAUCACACAGACACUGCUUUAGAAAAAAUUUUGUCUCCGUCCCCUCGGGUUAAACGGGAACCCCUCUCUACUAUUGCCAUUAUUCUAGGUAUUGGUGGUCUUGCUGCCGGCAUUGGUACCGGCACCACCGCUUACCUACAGACCCAACACCUCACAACUUUACAUGCUGAUAUGACAACUGACAUUGAGAUCCUAGAAAAGUCUGUCUCUGCUUUAGCAAAAUCCCUAUCCUCCCUCUCAGAAGUUGUACUGCAGAACAGACGUGGCCUCGACCUACUUUUUUUAAAAGAAGGGGGAUUAUGUGUAGCCAUUAAAGAAGAAUGUUGCUUUUAUGCUGACCACACAGGCAUGGUCAGAAAAUCAAUGGCAAAAUUAAGAGAACGCCUAGCCCUUAGAAAAAAGAAGGCCGAGGCCCAAGAAGGAUGGUACAACAAUCUUUUAAGAAAAACCCCUUGGCUCUCUACUCUAAUUCCCACAAUAAUAGCUCCCUUUAUUAUCAUUCUCCUAAUACUCACCUUUGGCCCUUGGGCUUUCCAACGCCUGACUGGAUUUAUUAAAUCAAACAUUGACUCAGCCCUUACUAAGUUCCCUACGGUCCAAUACCAUCGUAUCGAAAUAACAGAUACUGACCGACCACACAUCCCUACUGAUCGUCUCCAAUUUACUAGCAGGGCGGUAACCCAAUGACGGGAAUAGCACAGGUCCUUGACCCUUGAUGGUCAAGCAACUCCCCCUGUGUAGCCUAAGACAGGGGCCGUCGCUGCGGUCCUGACUUAAAACCUUCCCUCUAUAAAAAAGAAAGGGGGAAUUGUCAGAGACCAUAUUCGGGGACAACUUGACCUGAAACAAGAUUUAAGAUCCUAGGGAAACCGAACAAACAAGUUACCUCCCAGGCGUCGCCAAGACCAACAGCCACAAAACAUAACAAUAACCAUUCUUCAUGUUCCCUCCUGGUACAAGCAGUCUUUAGUCACCACCACCACCCCCCCUUUACCUCAAGCAUAUAUAUUCUACCUUACACCUGCAAUAAACGGAGCCUUGACACUA